GUGUCUAGAUUUUAGAGUACAUAUACCAAAAUUGGAACGAUACAGAGAAGAUUAACAUGUCCCCUUCGCAAGAAUGACACCUGCAGCCUCCAUGGCCUUCUCCUGGAUU